GACAGAGGGUGCAAACGUUGUUCGGAAUUACUGGGCGUAAAGCGUGUGUAGGUGGCUGCGCAAGUCGGAUGUGAAAGCCCUGGGCUCAACUCAGGAAGUGCACCCGAUACUGCGUGGCUCGAGUACCGGAGAGGUUGGUGGAAUUCUCGGUGUAGAGGUGAAAUUCGUAGAUAUCGAGAGGAACACCUGUGGCGAAGGCGGCCAACUGGACGAGUACUGACACUCAGACACGAAAGCGUGGGGAGCAAACAGG
rnacentral:rRNA from 1 species